AACAAGGAUUCCCCUAGUAACUGCGAGUGAAGCGGGAAAAGCUCAAAUUUAAAAUCUGGCGGUCUUCGGCCGUCCGAGUUGUAGUCUGGAGAAGUGUUUUCCGCGUUGGACCGUGUACAAGUUUCCUGGAACGGAGCGUCAUAGAGGGUGAGAAUCCCGUCUUUGACACGGACCCCAAUGCUUUGUGAUGCGCUCUCAAAGAGUCGAGUUGUUUGGGAAUGCAGCUCAAAAUGGGUGGUGAAUUCCAUCUAAAGCUAAAUAUUGGCGAGAGACCGAUAGCGAACAAGUACCGUGAGGGAAAGAUGAAAAGCACUUUGGAAAGAGAGUUAAACAGUACGUGAAAUUGUUGAAAGGGAAACGCUUGAAGUCAGUCGCGUCGGCCGGGACUCAGCCUUGCUUCCGCUUGGUGUACUUUCCGGUCGACGGGCCAGCAUCAAUUUUGACCGCGAGAUAAAGGCGGAGGGAAUGUGGCUCUUUCGGGAGUGUUAUAGUCCUUUGUCGGAUGUCGCGGCUGGGACUGAGGAAUUCAGCACGCCUUUAUGGCCGGGGUUCGCCCACGUACGUGCUUAGGAUGCUGGCGUAAUGGCUUUAAACGACCCGUCUUGAAACACGGACCAAGGAGUCUAACAUGCCUGCGAGUGUUCGGGUGGAAAACCCGUGCGCGUAAUGAAAGUGAAAGUUGGGAUCCCUGUCGUGGGGUGCACCGACGCCCGGACCAGACCUUCUGUGACGGAUCUGCGGUGGAGCAUGUAUGUUGGGACCCGAAAGAUGGUGAACUAUGCCUGAAUAGGGUGAAGCCAGAGGAAACUCUGGUGGAGGCUCGUAGCGAUUCUGACGUGCAAAUCGAUCGUCAAAUUUGGGUAUAGGGGCGAAAGA
rnacentral:rRNA from 1 species